rnacentral:rRNA from 1 species
GGGGAAUAUUGGACAAUGGGGGCAACCCUGAUCCAGCCAUGCCGCGUGAGUGAUGAAGGCCUUCGGGUUGUAAAGCUCUUUUGGCGGGGACGAUGAUGACGGUACCCGCAGAAUAAGCCCCGGCUAACUUCGUGCCAGCAGCCGCGGUAAGACGAAGGGGGCUAGCGUUGUUCGGAAUUACUGGGCGUAAAGGGCUCGUAGGCGGCCAACUAAGUCCGACGUGAAAUCCCAAGGCUUAACCUUGGAACUGCGUCGGAUACUGGAUGGCUUGAAUUCGGGAGAGGGAUGCAGAAUUCCAGGUGUAGCGGUGAAAUGCGUAGAUAUCUGGAGGAAUACCGGUGGCGAAGGCGGCAUCCUGGACCGACAUUGACGCUGAUGAGCGAAAGCUAGGGGAGCAAAC